rnacentral:tRNA from 1 species
GCAGGGAUAGCCAAGCCUGGUCAACGGCGCCGGACUCAAGAUCCGGUUCCACAGGGAUACGUGCGUUCGAAUCGCACUCCCUGCA